rnacentral:rRNA from 1 species
UACGUAGGGGCCAAGCGUUGUCCGGAUUUAUUGGGCGUAAAGAGCUCGUAGGUGGUUCGGCAAGUCAGUUGUGAAAUCUCCGCGCUCAACGCGGAGGGGUCAGCUGAAACUGCUGUGACUUGAGUCUGGUAGGGGAGUGUGGAAUUCCCGGUGUAGCGGUGAAAUGCGUAGAUAUUGGGAGGAACACCAGUGGCGAAGGCGGCUCACUGGACCGGUACUGACGCUGAGGCGCGAAAGCGUGGGGAGCAAACAGG